AGCCUAUUAGCUCAAUUGGUAGAGCAGUGUGCUAUAGUGUACAUAGACUGUAGGUUCAAAUCCUACAUAGGCUU
rfam:Beta vulgaris subsp. vulgaris chromosome 8, whole genome shotgun sequence.